AAAAAAAGGCGCUGCCUGAAAUUAUCAGGCGUGUUCAGGUCAUGUACCCAGCUGAAGGUUCAGGCUUUAAUGACCUCCACCUGUGACGUCACGUAAAAAGUUGAUACUUUCUCUCAAUCCGGGAACAAACCGCGUAAACGUUUCCCCAGGACCAUCCUCUUUGUUUCAUUCAUCGCAGCGGUGAAAGACGCGGAGCUCCAUCAAACAUUUAUCCGGAGCAGAGUGCGAAGGCAGCAGCCGAAACAAGUCGCUACUGUCACAAACAGAGCGUCAAAAAACAAAGAAGAA